CAGUCGCCGCGGUAAUACAGAGGGUGCGAGCGUUAAUCGGAUUUACUGGGCGUAAAGCGUGUGUAGGUUGUUGUUCAAGUCAGUUGUGAAAUCCCUGGGCUCAACCUGGGAACUGCUUCUGAGACUGAACGACUAGAGUACGGUAGAGGGUGGUGGAAUUUCCGGUGUAGCGGUGAAAUGCGUAGAUAUCGGAAGGAACAUCAAUGGCGAAGGCAGCCACCUGGGCCUGUACUGACACUGAGACACGAAAGCGUGGGGAUCAAACAGGAUUAGAUACCCCGGUAGUUCCUGUCUCUUAUAC
rnacentral:rRNA from 1 species